GCUUGAAACAUGCACUUGAAAUAUGCUCAAACAGAACUGUUUCCUACUUUGUAUCUGUAGAUGUCCUAUUGCUGAAGGAAUGUGUGAUGGUAAUACUUGUGUGUUUGCUAAUAUAACUGUUUUCCUACUGAUCCUGAUUAACUGCAGGGCUGGAGUGCCAUUCCAAACCUCAUCUCUGCUGGUGAAGUUCCAGACAGUCUGAACUGGUGGAAUUAAUCCCAGCUGCCUAGCGACAGACUGAAGUGGUGAACUUUGUCUGCAGCUGCCUCUUCUGCAGUGGUGCUGAGCAUCUUCUGCUGGACUAGUUCACUUUAAGAAACAAAAAAAACAUAACCCUUGUCUCUUUUCAGUCCCAAAUGCCCUCUUUGCCUCUGCUCUAACAGUGAUGUCCUCCUUGGUCUUGUGAUACUUUUUCCUCCUAAGUUCAUGUAUGCUCCCUUGGUAUCAGCUUCCCAAUGGAAAACUAUAUCAGCUCCCAGGCUGCUGAAAUCUGCUUUCAUCACUUUUUCCUUAGCUCUGUAUCUCCUCUUUGAUCUUCAAGUCCUGGCUGUCCAAACUUCCCCGCAAUGUCUGUUUUUUACUUUUCCCAUGUACUGAUGAAGCAAAGCUGUGCUGCUGCAGCUGGACUCUGCAGUGUUCUGUUUGCGUCAGGCCUUUCUUCUGACCAACUUUGCAUUUUAAAUGUGCCCCUGGACUCUUCCAGCUGUGUCCAUGCCAUUCUGGGACAAUAUAUCAGUCAGCCCUUUCGCAAGUGACUCCAUGGAUGGAUUGAGAAACUCUUUCUACUGUAGCAGUUGCAAUUGUAAAAAAAUUUAAUCUUAUUUCUGAUCAAUACUUUAUCUUCUGUCAUGACGUCAUUUAAUUCUUCCUUUCAGGCUCUAUUUCUGUAACUGUUUUAUUCUUCAGCACUUUUGAAUACUCUUUUAUACUAUGCACAAUGUACUGCAAUUCUUAGCAACUGUAAGGGGCAGAAGGACCAGGGACUUUUUCCAGUAUGAUGCUUUCACCUGUUUUUGAUUCACAGCGAUCUGGAAUUGGAGGACCUGAGUUUUUAUUGUUACAGAAGUCAGUUUAUGUUAAAAAGAGCAACAUUCUAAUACUGUUCUGUAAUUUGCACUGGAAUAUCUCUCCAGCUCUCAUUUAGAUCUCGCAAUACAUCUCAGAACCUAUAUACAUUUAUGCCUUAUCCCAUUUUCAUGGUUUAUGUGUCCUGCAUCCUGCUGGAGCACUUGUGGAGCUUUUGACUGGGCUUUGUAAUUCAUCAUGAAGGGUUGAGCUACACCAGAUUGUAUCAGACAAAUACUGUUAAAGUUUGAUAUUCCAGUUGAUAGCCUUCCUUCUGCUGCCAACAGCUUCUCAUCCACC